rnacentral:rRNA from 1 species
CUACGGGUGGCUGCAGUGAGGAAUAUUGCACAAUGGAGGAAACUCUGAUGCAGCAACGCCGCGUGGAGGAUGACGCAUUUCGGUGUGUAAACUCCUUUUAUAUGUCAAGAAAAUGACGGUAGCAUAUGAAUAAGCUCCGGCUAACUCCGUGCCUGCAGCCGCGGUAAUACGGAGGGAGCAAGCGUUACUCGGAAUCACUGGGCGUAAAGGACGCGUAGGCGGGAUAGAAAGUCAGGUGUGAAAUCCUAUGGCUCAACCAUAGAACUGCACUUGAAACUUCUAACCUAGAGUAUGGGAGGGGAAGAUGGAAUUAGUGGUGUAGGGGUAAAAUCCGUAGAUAUCACUAGGAAUACCAAAAGCGAAGGCGAUCUUCUGGAACAAUACUGACGCUAAGGCGUGAAAGCGUGGGGAGCAAACAGGAUUAGAUACCCUGGUAGUC